rnacentral:rRNA from 1 species
AGAAUGAACGCUGGCGGCGUGGUUAAGACAUGCAAGUCGAACGGGAUUAACGGUGUAGCAAUACAUCGUUGAUCCAGUGGCGAACGGGUGCGUAACACGUGAACAAUCUACCUCCAAGUGGGGAAUAGCUCGCCGAAAGGCGAAUUAAUACCCCAUACAGUUGCCGAUCGCAUGAUCGGCAUACCAAAGUCAGGGACCGCAAGGCCUGACGCUAGGAGAGGAGUUCGCGGCCUAUCAGCUAGUUGGCGAGGUAACGGCUCACCAAGGCGACGACGGGUA